GGGGUUGUACUGGUUUCGACGGGGUUUUUGAAGCCGGUGAAGCGAGCCGCACGGGAUGCGUUAAAUUCCGACCUUAAAUAUAAACGCUAAGAAAGAUAAUACUAGAUUAGCAUUCGCUGCUUAAUUGCAGCGGCUUGUCUGACUGAUCGCACCCGCACUUUCGGAUCAGGCAUCAACUUAUGCGGGAAACGGUCUGUGCAAAGCUUUGCGCACGGAUACGUAUCAUGAAGCUACCAAAGCGCGUAACCCGCUGUCGGGUGCCGCGUAGAGGGAAUGUUAAAACGACAGCUACGCUCGUAGAAGAACGGUGAAUAGGAUUUCGGACGCGGGUUCGAUUCCCGCCAGCUCCAU
rnacentral:tmRNA from 1 species